GUAUUUUGUGUUAUAAUUUUCAAAAUCGUCAGACAAACAGUAAAGCGUAGGAUAAAAAGAAGGAUUGGGAACCAAAUCCUUUGAAAUCUCUUCCAAAGGAAUUUGGAAAUCCAAAAUGAGUGCACACAGUGGGUGAAUCAAUGGUUUAAAAACCUUGUAAUGAUCCUUCCGCAGGUUCACCUACGGAAA
rnacentral:misc_RNA from 1 species